rnacentral:rRNA from 1 species
UACGGGGGGGGGCAAGCGUUGUUCGGAAUUACUGGGCGUAAAGCGCGUGUAGGCGGCUCUUCAAGUCGAGUGUGAAAGCUCCAGGCUUAACCUGGGAAUUGCGCUCGAUACUGUUGAGCUAGAGUGUGGAAGGGGCUACUGGAAUUCCGUGUGUAGCGGUGAAAUGCGCAGAUAUCAGGAAGAACACCAAUGGCGAAAGCAGCUCUCUGGGACGGUACUGACGCUGAGACGCGAAAGCGUGGGGAGCGAACAGG